UCAACAUUUUGGAAUUUCACUUGGUUUUAUCGUCGGAUUUUCUUGAAAAUAUGGAGGUACAGUUUCUUGGUGGUAUUGGUGGACAGGGCAUUUUUUCAUGUGUCAACGCAGUGCUCAGGAGAUUGAUGACAAAUUCUGCCGCAUCCCAAUACAGCUGGAGUGGGUUCAAAGGAAAGAAAACAUUUAUAAAUUUAAGGCUGUCGCAAGUUGUGCUACAUGUUGUACGGUUACAUGUGCCAGGGGCUACUGAAACUGAAGUGUCAGAGCAGAUACAAGCUUGGUUGAAGCAUGCCAAAACAAGACUUGUCAGAACAUCACAGAAGUUGCCAGUUUCUGACCAGUGUUGAAAAAAGAAGCAUAAGAACUUAAGUGAACUACUUUGUAAUGAAUUUUACCAGGACAUGAAUUAUUGUGCCAAAUGAAUGUUUAAAAAUACCUUGCAUAUAAUAUUUUGAUACUCUACUUUGAAAACUAUAAAAUACUAUGUAGAAAUAUUGCAGAAUUAAACUUUUACUUACACUUAUUAAAAGGUUUUGUUUUUUAACUGCCUUCAUGCAACACUAAUGUCUUGAUUCAAAGCUACUAAGCCUAACCAAAAUACUUACCAGACCAGUCUCCAGCUGCGAACGAGUCUCCUCAAAACUCGGUCCAAUCUUCAGCGUGACCGACUCUGGCUUUUGUGAUCUCGACUUGAAGGUCCUCCGGAGUCAACACAGACACAUUGUUAACUUCGAGGAUAAUGUUGCGAACAUGGUGCAAACCUUGUCUGU